UUUAGCCCACAUCACUGAUCAGCUGGCUCUGGCCGAGGGAGCAAAGCAGAACUGCCACCCCCCACUGGGCCAGGAAGUUAUCAGAGUGUCUGCCCGGAAGGCCAUCAACCCCCAGUGUGGAGAGUGGCCAAACAGAGACCAGGGACCCCGACAGGGAGACCAGCCCCCUGGGAAUCUGAACUUCUCCAGACUCUUCCAUGACCUGGGGGUCAUGUAAGUCACCCCAACCACAGAGACAGCCUUAUCCUCACUUGGCAGAUGAGAAGCCUGAGGCUCAGAGGGUGAAGCUUUUGGCCAAGGGCAGACAGCCGUGCCAAUGUGACCAUGUCACCAGUUCCGCCAGUGCCUGCCUUACCCAGCCCACAUGCCCCCUGGCCGGGGCUCUGGCCACUGCUCAGCCUCACCUCAGUGGCCCCACCGCCCAUCCAUGACUGACUCCACGCCGACAGCCUCCCGGCGGUCCCCGAGCCUGUCUCUUUCUCACUCACUCUGGGAGACCCUCCCUGCACCUUGACCGCCCCUCCACUGGCCUCCACACCUCCACCAUCACACAGGAAGAGGUGUUCUCCUCCAGUCCUCACAAUGACCCUCCACGGUAGGUGUUAUUAUUUCACUUGACAGGUACAGCAACUGAGGAGAAAAGGUAGAGAGAGAUGUGUCAUCCAGGAGGCACUGGAGCAGGACGGACACCAUAGACCAGACCCCUUCCCAGGGGACAGCGGCGGCCCGGCCGGCACCACCCUCGGGAUCCCCUCCGUGGGUUUCUGCCCAGCUCGGCCCGUGGCAUCUGCCCCCGGGAGGAGCCUACACAGGAGACAGGGGGCAGCUGUGAAACCACAGACACGACAACCAGGAGCCAGGCCCCAAGUGCCACUCAGCCCCGGAGCCCGAGCGGUUCCGGAAAAUACAAGCCCCACAGCUGUUCUCCAGGCACAAAGUUCAAGGCUCCUUGAUGAGCAGGUAAAAACUGCCAGAGCUGACUUAAUCCCUAUUAAUCAAACAUGAUGACUUGUUUUUCUUUGGAGCCAAGUGACAACAGAGCUGAUCAUAACUCAUACUUGGAUCUGACCACCCUGAACUAGA